rnacentral:rRNA from 1 species
GCUUACGGCCAUACCAGCCUGGGUACGCCCGAUCUCGUCUGAUCUCGGAAGCUAAGCAGGGUCGGACCUGGUUAGUACUUGGAUGGGAGACCGCCUGGGAAUACCAGGUGCUGUAAGCA